CAUUCAGUUAAAAUACUGGUUUGGUAAAGAACUGUUUUUGAAAAUGAGCAUUAUGAAUUCUGAAAUCUAGGCUUUAGCAAGUUAUGAAACCUUUUUGGCCCCAGUCUCUACACUUGUAAAAGCAGAGGAUUGACCUUGCUGAUCUCUGACACCUCUGCCAACUCUUAAAAUUCUGAGUUUAGAUAGUAAAACAUAAAAAUAAUACUGGAUUAUGAAAUGUUGAGUGGCACAUGCACUUAGGAAAAAGAACAAAGUAACAUAAACAUGAAUGUACAUCAUUUGUAAUUCUAAUAAGCUAAUCAACUAACUGAAAGAUUCUGCUUUGGUGUUCUAAUCCAAUUGCACUAGUGAAUCAAUACUAAAUCUAUUAAUCACAAAGUGGAAAAUUCUAGUAAAUUUUGUUGUAAAAGGAGUAUAGUAACUAGUGCUGUGUGCAAUCCUUAUAACUAGCCAAAGCCAACAUGCAGGUCCUUUAUGAGCGCCUUCUCAGAAGAAAACAGCCAGCAACCCAGAAAGACACCUGUCUAGAGGAAAUGGAUGUAGAAGCUCGACUUACUGAAUUAUGUGAAGAAGUUAAG